CGUCGAUGGGCCUGUGCGUGUGCUUGAGCAAGGAAGCCUCCGAUGUGUCACGUGAGGCUCAGAGGGCGGACGGAAAGGGUCCUCGGCCUCCCAUUCCUCCUGCCCGCGGGGCCUGUUCUUGCUGCUGGCCUGCACACCCCCGCCUCCUCCUCCCAGGCCUGCGGCCUCUCGCCGGCCUUGCCAGCCUUGCCGGCUGCUCGCCUGACUGCGAUGCCUGCUCCUGCCUGACCGGUGCCUGCCCCCACCUGGCCACAAUGCCUGCUUCCCCGCCACCUUCACCUUCCCUUCCGCCCCGAAGGCGGGAUGGCGCCGCUGGACCAUGGUGCGCUUCUCCGUCCUCUCCAAGGCAAGGAAGGAGGGAGGCGGGGGAGCCAAGCCAGCAAGCGGUACCAGCAGCAGCAGCCCCCUCCUCUGCCUCCUCCUCCUCCUCCUCCUCGGCUGGGGCAAAGGCCAGGCCAAAAAGAACCCAGACAAUUCUCUGA
rnacentral:lncRNA from 11 species